CGUUCUAUGGCCGAAUUGGUAAAGACAUCGCCGAUCACAGGCGAGGGUGCGGGUUCGAGUCCCACUGGAACGA
rfam:Operophtera brumata OBRT01_Sc07024, whole genome shotgun sequence.